UACAGAGGGUGCAAACGUUGUUCGGAAUCACUGGGCGUAAAGGGCGCGUAGGCGGUUCGUUAAGUCCUGUGUGAAAUCCCCCGGCUCAACUGGGGAACUGCACAGGAAACUAGCGGGCUUGAGUUCGGGAGAGGAACGCGGAAUUCCAGGUGUAGCGGUGAAAUGCGUAGAUAUCUGGAGGAACACCGGUGGCGAAGGCGGCGUUCUGGACUGCAACUGACACUGAGAAACGAAAGCCAGGGUAGCAAACGGG
rnacentral:rRNA from 1 species